AUUGAACGCUGGCGGCAGGCUUAACACAUGCAAGUCGAACGAGUGGCGGACGGGUGAGUAAUGCUUGGGAAUCUAGCUUAUGGAGGGGGAUAACUACGGGAAACUGUAGCUAAUACCGCGUACCAUAGGAUGAGCCCAAGUGGGAUUAGCUAGUUGGUGAGGUAACGGCUCACCAAGGCCACGAUGCAUAGCCGACCUGAGAGGGUGAUCGGCCACACUGGGACUGAGACACGGCCCAGACUCCUACGGGAGGCAGCAGUAGGGAAUCUUGCGCAAUGGGGGCAACCUGACGCAGCCAUGCCGCGUGAAUGAAGAAGGCCUUCGGGUUGUAAAGUUCUUUCGGUAGCGAGGCGUUAACUACAGAAGAAGCACCGGCUAACUCCGUGCCAGCAGCCGCGGUAAUUC
rnacentral:rRNA from 1 species